UACAGAGGUCCCGAGCGUUGUUCGGAUUUACUGGGCGUAAAGGGCGCGUAGGCGGCGUGACAAGUCACUUGUGAAAUCUCCGGGCUUAACCCGGAGCGGCCAAGUGAUACUGUCGUGCUAGAGUGCGGAAGGGGCUACUGGAAUUCUCGGUGUAGCGGUGAAAUGCGGAGAUAUCGAGAGGAACACCUGCGGCGAAGGCGGGUAGCUGGGCCGACACUGACGCUGAGGCGCGAAAGCCAGGGGAGCGAACGGG
rnacentral:rRNA from 1 species